rnacentral:lncRNA from 1 species
CCUACAUCUUAAAGACGAUUAAUUGUCUGUUUAAUAUGAGACAGAGAAAUGUUCUAAGAGAACUGCAAAAGAGCAAAUCACAUGAACAGACAUUUGAGUGAGAGAUGUGUGUAUUAUGUAGAAUCAACUGUCUACAUUGCUUUAGAUGAAUGUAAGUAAUGUAAAUAAAUCUACAUUAAGUAAACAUAAGUUAUCUAUUUCAUUUGAACAUUAGUGUUGUUGAUAAAUUGUGGAGCUCUUGUGUUGGAUAAAGUUAGUGAACACAUCAGCAUCUAUCUUAACAUGUAAAUGCAGUAUAUCACAGAUAAAUCACAGAGACUGACUCUUGUCUGGAUGUUACAGGGACAGAUGAGACACAUGUGUUUAUCUGCUGCAGAGAGACUGAUGAAGAAAUGCUGCCAUCAAAGAUUCUCAAUAUUUUGUGGUGGAGCAGGUGACCGCAGCAUCUGUGGAAAAAACCUUAAAGAAAAAUCCAAAGUAAGAUCAUUAUGCUACUUCUAAUACAGAAAUGAAGUGACACUGUGCUGUUAAAAUGACUGCUUUUGUUUUGUGUUUGUGCAUCUUUGUAGGAUCUGAAAUGUCUGCAGACUGCCGUGUGCACUGAAGAUGGAGUGUCAUGGGUGAAAUGCUCCAUCACUGCAUCUCCACUUGUUUUCUCAUCAGGACCAGAUGAUGAUGUGGUCUCUUCAUCUUCAGUGACCCCAGAGCCAGCGAGAACAUCUAGAGAAACACCAAAAGACACUGAGGAUGUGAUUUAGGUCAAGUUUGUUCUGUGGUUUCUGUUCAUACAACAUCAGUCAAUAAAGCCUGAGGUUCAGAAGUUUCUAAAGUAUCAUCAAAUAAUGUCAUGAAGAAUCUGAAAGUCAGGCUCCAUUGACUGAUACUGUAUGAACACAAACCAGCAGGAGAAACCGGACCAACAUCACCUUUUAUGUUCAGGCAAAGUAUUGAUCAGAAUGGAGGCAAGUCAUUAAUGACUGAAUUUAUAUGUUUAGAUGACCUGACCCUUUAAAACCCCAAAUAGAAACUGUAUUAAAUGUAUGCAUGCAUUAAUAUUAUAGUAGAACAUUGAAGAAAAGAAGCUUUAAGAAAUAAGCAGCUUUAUUAAGCAUUUUUCUGCCCAAGACACACAAAAAAAGCAUUCACAAAAUUCACAUUUACAUGUAUUAAUUUACCAGAGACUUUUAUCUGAAGUGACUUACAGUGCUGUUAUUACAGGAUCUCAAUCCCUCUGGAGUCACCUGGAGUAAAGACACACCGGUGGAGAUUGAACCAGAAACUGCUCACCAGUUCAGUUCACUAAAUCACAGAAAUAAUGAAGCUUUAUCAAAUUAACAUGCAAUUGUAAAAAUAUCAAAUUUAAUUCAGCAAUAAAUAGAAUGCUGACAACAUGACAAAGUGUUUUACUCUGUGUAAGUG